AUGUGGGUAGGCCUCAUCCAAUCUGUUGAAGGCCUGAAUAGAACAAAAAAGUUGAGUAAGGGAGAAUUCACUCUCUCUGCCUGACUGCCUUUGAGCUGGGACACAGGUCUUCUCCUGCCUUUGGACUUGGACCGCAAAUGAAACUUACAACAUCGACUUUCCUUGGUCCUGGGCUUGCUAACAGCAGAUCUUGGGACAUGGCGGCCUUCACAAACAGGUAACGAAACUGCGGUCAGAGAGAUCUAACGGCUUGCCAAGACCAAAUAGCCAGUGCGUGCCAGAGGCAGGAUUUGCAACCAAAUCCUCUGCUCUACUGCACAGAAAACACACUGAGGGCAGGCUCUUGGCUUUAUCCUUUCACGCUCUGAGCUCUCUCACACAAACGGGUCUGAAAUGAAAACCAGCAUCGCCUUCUGUGCAGAGCACAGGGCCACACACAGAAAGGCACCCGGGCCUUCAUCUGGGUGAUUUUAUUCUGGCCACACCAGCUGGACAAUACGCUGUCAUUUACUUCAGCCUGGUCUGAGAAAAGACACAAUUACAGCAACAGCCCCCCCCAAGGAAGGAGGGCGAGGGAAAAAGCUUAAGCUUCUUCAUUGACUUUAAUUAAGCUCACCAGAGAAGAAGAUCGCAAGGGAUCCUGCAGAACUUUUUCUAGUUUUAUUUAUAUUAUUCUUAAUUCCAAUUUAACAGAAAAAUGUUUUCCUCAAACCUACUCCAUCAGUUUAGGGCUUUCUCUAUCUAUUUAGAAACAGUGCCAUCUACUGAGACAUCUUCACACUGUUCUUGGAAACCCUGAAAAAAAUAAUUACUGUUGUUUAUGCCUUAAUUAUGAACAUGUUCCAGGACAUGGCCCUCCUUUCCAAAUGUCUGUUCCUGCACUUAAAACCAUAUAUGUUAUUUUCUUUUAUAGCCACAAAUGACAAGUGGGUUUGGAAGGACACUAGGGCUUUUGAGCACAUGUCUUGAAAAAUAGAGUCUACAGACUAGGACUGGCUGAGGUGGGGCAGCCAGGUGGCAGGCGCUCAGGUGUGGAGCCCAGAGGCCACGGUGUCCCGAACAGCAGCGACCACACCUGUUCCCCCGCUCCUGCUCGGGAGCUACAUGGUCAACCUGGAAAGGCAUGAACCCCACAUUCCAAAACAUCAAAUACCUGGGAAUCAACCGAAAGAUAGGCGCGCAUGACUGCUACACAGAAAACAAUAAUUCGUUAUUGAGGAAACCAAGGAAUAUCUAAAUAACUGGCAGGCUAUACUAUGGGCUGGGACACAUAUUCACGAUGGGAGUGAAAUCUCCCCCAGAAGGGGCAAAAAUUGGUUCUUGGGGGAAUGAAAAGAUUGUACUGUUUUUAUGUGUAAGGCACAGAUAUACAAUGUACCUAUGGCAUUAAAACUUGAGGGUGGG
rnacentral:lncRNA from 1 species